rnacentral:rRNA from 2 species
ACUAAGCGUACACGGUGGAUGCCCUGGCAGUCAGAGGCGAUGAAGGACGUGCUAAUCUGCGAUAAGCGUCGGUAAGGUGAUAUGAACCGUUAUAACCGGCGAUUUCCGAAUGGGGAAACCCAGUGUGAUUCGUCACACUAUCAUUAACUGAAUCCAUAGGUUAAUGAGGCGAACCGGGGGAACUGAAACAUCUAAGUACCCCGAGGAAAAGAAAUCAACCGAGAUUCCCCCAGUAGCGGCGAGCGAACGGGGAGGAGCCCAGAGCCUGAAUCAGUGUGUGUGUUAGUGGAAGCGUCUGGAAAGGCGCGCGAUACAGGGUGACAGCCCCGUACACAAAAAUGCACAUGCUGUGAGCUCGAUGAGUAGGGCGGGACACGUGGUAUCCUGUCUGAAUAUGGGGGGACCAUCCUCCAAGGCUAAAUACUCCUGACUGACCGAUAGUGAACCAGUACCGUGAGGGAAAGGCGAAAAGAACCCCGGCGAGGGGAGUGAAAAAGAACCUGAAACCGUGUACGUACAAGCAGUGGGAGCACAGAGCAAUCUGUGUGACUGCGUACCUUUUGUAUAAUGGGUCAGCGACUUAUAUUCUGUAGCAAGGUUAACCGAAUAGGGGAGCCGAAGGGAAACCGAGUCUUAACUGGGCGUUAAGUUGCAGGGUAUAGACCCGAAACCCGGUGAUCUAGCCAUGGGCAGGUUGAAGGUUGGGUAACACUAACUGGAGGACCGAACCGACUAAUGUUGAAAAAUUAGCGGAUGACUUGUGGCUGGGGGUGAAAGGCCAAUCAAACCGGGAGAUAGCUGGUUCUCCCCGAAAGCUAUUUAGGUAGCGCCUCGUGAAUUCAUCUCCGGGGGUAGAGCACUGUUUCGGCAAGGGGGUCAUCCCGACUUACCAACCCGAUGCAAACUGCGAAUACCGGAGAAUGUUAUCACGGGAGACACACGGCGGGUGCUAACGUCCGUCGUGAAGAGGGAAACAACCCAGACCGCCAGCUAAGGUCCCAAAGUCAUGGUUAAGUGGGAAACGAUGUGGGAAGGCCCAGACAGCCAGGAUGUUGGCUUAGAAGCAGCCAUCAUUUAAAGAAAGCGUAAUAGCUCACUGGUCGAGUCGGCCUGCGCGGAAGAUGUAACGGGGCUAAACCAUGCACCGAAGCUGCGGCAGCGACACUGUGUGUUGUUGGGUAGGGGAGCGUUCUGUAAGCCUGUGAAGGUGUGCUGUGAGGCAUGCUGGAGGUAUCAGAAGUGCGAAUGCUGACAUAAGUAACGAUAAAGCGGGUGAAAAGCCCGCUCGCCGGAAGACCAAGGGUUCCUGUCCAACGUUAAUCGGGGCAGGGUGAGUCGACCCCUAAGGCGAGGCCGAAAGGCGUAGUCGAUGGGAAACAGGUUAAUAUUCCUGUACUUGGUGUUACUGCGAAGGGGGGACGGAGAAGGCUAUGUUGGCCGGGCGACGGUUGUCCCGGUUUAAGCGUGUAGGCUGGUUUUCCAGGCAAAUCCGGAAAAUCAAGGCUGAGGCGUGAUGACGAGGCACUACGGUGCUGAAGCAACAAAUGCCCUGCUUCCAGGAAAAGCCUCUAAGCAUCAGGUAACAUCAAAUCGUACCCCAAACCGACACAGGUGGUCAGGUAGAGAAUACCAAGGCGCUUGAGAGAACUCGGGUGAAGGAACUAGGCAAAAUGGUGCCGUAACUUCGGGAGAAGGCACGCUGAUAUGUAGGUGAAGUCCCUCGCGGAUGGAGCUGAAAUCAGUCGAAGAUACCAGCUGGCUGCAACUGUUUAUUAAAAACACAGCACUGUGCAAACACGAAAGUGGACGUAUACGGUGUGACGCCUGCCCGGUGCCGGAAGGUUAAUUGAUGGGGUCAGCGCAAGCGAAGCUCUUGAUCGAAGCCCCGGUAAACGGCGGCCGUAACUAUAACGGUCCUAAGGUAGCGAAAUUCCUUGUCGGGUAAGUUCCGACCUGCACGAAUGGCGUAAUGAUGGCCAGGCUGUCUCCACCCGAGACUCAGUGAAAUUGAACUCGCUGUGAAGAUGCAGUGUACCCGCGGCAAGACGGAAAGACCCCGUGAACCUUUACUAUAGCUUGACACUGAACAUUGAGCCUUGAUGUGUAGGAUAGGUGGGAGGCUUUGAAGUGUGGACGCCAGUCUGCAUGGAGCCGACCUUGAAAUACCACCCUUUAAUGUUUGAUGUUCUAACGUGGACCCGUGAUCCGGGUUGCGGACAGUGUCUGGUGGGUAGUUUGACUGGGGCGGUCUCCUCCUAAAGAGUAACGGAGGAGCACGAAGGUUGGCUAAUCCUGGUCGGACAUCAGGAGGUUAGUGCAAUGGCAUAAGCCAGCUUGACUGCGAGCGUGACGGCGCGAGCAGGUGCGAAAGCAGGUCAUAGUGAUCCGGUGGUUCUGAAUGGAAGGGCCAUCGCUCAACGGAUAAAAGGUACUCCGGGGAUAACAGGCUGAUACCGCCCAAGAGUUCAUAUCGACGGCGGUGUUUGGCACCUCGAUGUCGGCUCAUCACAUCCUGGGGCUGAAGUAGGUCCCAAGGGUAUGGCUGUUCGCCAUUUAAAGUGGUACGCGAGCUGGGUUUAGAACGUCGUGAGACAGUUCGGUCCCUAUCUGCCGUGGGCGCUGGAGAACUGAGGGGGGCUGCUCCUAGUACGAGAGGACCGGAGUGGACGCAUCACUGGUGUUCGGGUUGUCAUGCCAAUGGCACUGCCCGGUAGCUAAAUGCGGAAGAGAUAAGUGCUGAAAGCAUCUAAGCACGAAACUUGCCCCGAGAUGAGUUCUCCCUGACCCUUUAAGGGUCCUGAAGGAACGUUGAAGACGACGACGUUGAUAGGCCGGGUGUGUAAGCGCAGCGAUGCGUUGAGCUAACCGGUACUAAUGAACCGUGAGGCUUAACC